rfam:TPA: Bos taurus chromosome 5, whole genome shotgun sequence.
UCCCUGGUGGCUCAGAUGGUAAAGCGUCUGCCUAGAAUGCCGGAGACCCGGGUUCGAUCCCUGGGUUGGGAA